rnacentral:rRNA from 1 species
AGUUUGAUCCUGGCUCAGGACGAACGCUGGCGGCGUGCCUAACACAUGCAAGUCAGGGAGAAUGGGGUAGCAAUACCCCUAGUACACCGGCGCAAGGGUGAGUAACACGUAAGCAAUCUGCCUUUUGGACGGGAAUAACUUCGAGAAAUCGAGGCUAAUACCCGAUAAUGCAGCGGCAUCGCAUGAUGACAGUUGUUAAAGGUCGCAAGACGCCAAAAGAUGAGCUUGCGUCCCAUUAGCUUGUUGGCGGGGUAACGGCCCACCAAGGCGACGAUGGGUAGCUGGUCUGAGAGGACGAUCAGCCACACUGGAACUGAGACACGGUCCAGACUCCUACGGGAGGCAGCAGUGAGGAAUAUUGCGCAAUGUCCGAAAGGGUGACGCAGCGACGCCGCGUGAAGGAUGAAGGCCCUAUGGGUCGUAAACUUCUUUUGCGGGGGAAGAAUUUCCUGCUACAGGCAGGAUUGACUGUACCCCGAGAAAAAGCAUCGGCUAACUACGUGCCAGCAGCCGCGGUAAUACGUAGGAUGCGAGCGUUGUCCGGAAUCACUGGGUGUAAAGGGAGCGCAGGCGGGUUGGUAAGUCAGUGGUGAAAUUCUCAGGCUUAACCUGGGGACUGCCACUGAUACUGCUGAUCUUGAGUGCAGAAGAGGUGGAUGGAAUUCUUGGUGUAGCGGUGAAAUGCGUAGAUAUCAAGAAGAACACCGAUGGCGAAGGCAGUCCACUGGUCUGUUACUGACGCUCAUGCUCGAAA